rfam:Otolemur garnettii contig046506, whole genome shotgun sequence.
UUACAAAUUUGUAGAUUCCUUAGAAUGGAACUAACUCGAGCCCUUCUUUCUGCAGCUGAGGCUCACUGCCCCCUGGAUGGGCAGUGAGUCUUUGGGUU